rnacentral:snRNA from 1 species
GGAUGUGAGGGCGAUCUGGCUGCAACAUCUGUCACACUACUGAUCACCAGGGUUGAUUUGGUUGAUCUGGCUGCCUAGACAGGUGUCCCCUUCCUCCCACACUGCUCCAUGUGCGUCCCUCCCAAGCUGCCUGCUUGGUCGAAGAGGACAACCUUCCCUGAAUAGAGGCGGACCAGUCUUUGGUAGAGGGUAUAGGAGUAGCUGCGCUCCCCUGCUAGAACCUUCAAACAAGCUCUCAAGGAAAAAAAUAUAUAUAUAUGUUUUAUUUUAAUGAGAAAGAGUAGAUAUAGAUGGAAAGAUACUGAGAAAGAGAGAGAGGAUCAAAACACUGCUCAGUUCUGAUACAUGGUAAGUCUG